GGUAUGAAUUAUCUCAGCGUAGACUGGCUUCAGCGGCAACAUGGCUGCCCGAGCGAACAAAAAGACACAUAAAUGUCACCGUAGUCACCAGAUCCAGUCUGUAUUCAGGUCAGAGGGUCACUGUAGUCACCCAGAUCCAAUAUGUAUCCAGCCCAGAUGGUGGAUCGGCACCUAGACAGGACCUCUACAGCCCUGAAGAUCGGAGACCAGGACAACUAAAGCCCCAGAGACAGAUCCCUUGUAAACCUUGUCUCAGACAAUCACCAGGACAAGACCACAGGAAACAGAUGAUUCUUCUGCACAAUCUGACUUUGCUGCAGCCUGGAACUGAGCUGCUGGUUUUGUCUGAUCAGAGGAGAACUGACCCCCGACUGAGCCUGGUGUCUCCCAAGGUUUUUCCUCCAUUCUGUCACCGUUGGCGUUUUGGUAUCUUGCCACUGUCGUCUCUGCCUUGUUUUGUUGGGGACACUUAAUUUCCAGGAAUAUCAUUGACUUGAUUGCACAGAUACUAUAGAAAUUGAACUGACCUGGAUGAUGACAUCACUAAAUUGAAUGAUGAACUGCAUUUUUGCAUUAUUGACAGACUAUUUUCCUAUUUAAUGCUGUACUGUUGCUUUGACACAAUCUGUAUUGUGUUUAUUGCAAAUUCUAGAAGAUCUGGCAAAGGUAAGGCUGCUCUCAGGGGGUUCAUGAGCACUUAAUUGCCGCUGACGCCGUGAAGCUCACAUACCCAAAAACGUCAAAGAAAAUUUUCAAAAAGACAUUAUAUCUAAUAAUAAACAGCAUAUUUCAAGUCUUAACAACUACAUUCUCAUGUAAACAACUACAUUCCAUGACACAACAGUAUUAUUUAAAAAAUGAUGAGAAAUAAUGCAAACGGAUUUAUACAAACAGUGAAAUGGUUGGACUUCUGUUAUCACCAGAUAUUGUACUGCUGGAAAAAGGUUCUCAGCCAAUCAGAUUCAAGGACCAGAAAGAAGUGUUUUAUACAAAAUCUGCCAGGAAACUCAGUCUGACAUAAUGACAUCAUUAUUCACUUGGAGCAGCUGACCGGUUAUUUUAAUAUCAUCAGCCAAUGAGCUUGUUGCUCAAGCAUUCAAAUACUCAGCUAGUGCUAGUUCAGUUUCAGCAUGCUUCAAUGCUGUUUUCAAUGGCUAUAUAUAGUACAAAGCCCAAAAACGGAUACCCUGGAAAAAAUUUACCAGUCAUCACAAUUUAAAUAAUUAUUAAAACAUGAACAUGAUUGACCUAAAACGAGGGAUCAAUGUAAAAAGUUGUGGAAACAUUUUUGGCCAGCACAUUUAGUUUUUUCCAAGCAUGUCAUGUGUGAGGCUCUACAACUGGUCACCAGAAACAUUAAUUUUAAGUGGUUUUGAUGCCCUGUCUAUGUAAAGACAAAUUUCAAUUAGUGUCAAGACAUCAAAAAGAGCCACAAAAGAUGCUAUACGUGUGCUUUUUAUGCUUAAAAGCAAAAAUGUAAACCCAGGAAAUCUUUCAGCACAUUUUACGGUGUCACCUCUAAAAUCUUUUCAAAACACACAUUUCCUAUCUCAUUCUCUUUGUACACCUUCCAUACUUCAUUCUUUCUUCAUAACCUAGUCUCCUUAACAUGUGACAAGCAAACUCUAGUGUCCUUAAAAGUGGGCCACUACUUACACAGCAUAAUGUUGAAAGAGGUCAUUGGUAACAGGUUAUGCAUCACAACAGCUAUGUAUUGACCUACUUACACAUAACCUGUUGUAUCUUUUCUAUCUGUUCUUUUGUCAUCUUAAACAGAAAAAAAGGGUACAUCCUCUGAUCAAUGUGGGCUGGACAGUUUUUAUUUCAGCCCUAGUUUGCUGUGUACAGCGCCAGUAUCAAUAACAAUCUUUAACCUAAAUUGUGAAAUCCAGGUGCCUAAGGUUACUUCAAGAUCUUUGCUGAUUAAUACAUUGAGUAUAGUUGGCACAGUUAGAUGACAGUGGUUUAUAUUUGUUUACAGAAAUAAAUCAUAGAAUUUCUGUAUGUGUUGUGGAGGUUACAGUUCUGCAUGGAUGAUUAGAUGAUAUUUAUUUAUGGCAUCCAAUAGUGUUUAAUAUUAACUCUAAGUGAGAGUUGAACUACUGGUCAAAACAUUUGCGGUCAGUGGAUUUUUUUAAUAUAUAGAAAUAUAUUGAAAUAUUUACAUUUUUAUAACUAAAAUGAUUUUUACAAAGAAGGUAAUCUAAAUGUAAAAAUAGUGGAAAUGAGAUGCACAAUUAAAUAUCAAAUGAAUCAUUGUUGCAGAGUGGAUGUAACUUCUCUGUCUUUACAAUGCAAGGAAAACAAUAAAAUCUGUCUUCUUUGCAAGAUCUAAGUUAAUGUGGUCUGGUGACAUUGGUUGGCUUUUCAUGCUUGCUUUCUGCACGUGUUCGCAAAGGGAAGUCUUCAUAAUGUGAGAGUACUUUCGAAAGUACCAUUUGACCUGAUAUUUACACCACUCGACACUUGUCUAUUGUGAACGCUGUUGCUAGACUAAAGUAAGUCAGGUGUAUAUGAUAUGGCCUUUGUGGUUUCUGACACUGAAAUCCGAUUGACAAAAAGAGGAGAAAAUAGUCCAUGUGUGAAUGACUACGCAGAGCAGUAGGUUGCAACAUAAGCUAUUCUGAACACGUUUUAAAAAAGGGAACAUGAUGUGCAAAUCCAUGCUCAGCUGCUUCCAGUAACUCUACAGCAGAGAUUAAUCUCAUCUGUGCGUUCAGAGAGAGUGUUUUUGUUGAAACACAGCCAUGAACUUUCCUAAUCCACUUACAACAAACUUUCACCCAUUUCCAUCAUGCAUAUACAAAACUGCACAAUGUGCAACAGUUGCACACUGACAGACUAAAACGUAUUACUCUACAAGUAAUAAUUGCAAAUUCUGAUUAUUGCAUCCAAAAUGACCUAUCACUAAGUGCCAAGCAAAAACUGGGUUUUAAAAGUAGAUACUGUUACAUGUUGAGUCAUGUUACCAAGAUGAACGCCUAGUGGACUGACAAGCCUAAAGGAGACUUUGGUUAUUUGCCAGAUAGCUGGUGACUUUGAACUCCAACAUAAUACUAAGGCUGUGUGACACUCACACAUGUAAGAGACAAAAGAGAUUCAAAUCCAUUUGUCUACUAAAGAAAACUGAAGCAGCAUAGUUGCCAAUUUAAGAUGCAAAUUUAUUUUUCUCUCUACAGAAUUUCAUAAAGACUCAUUUGUGAAAUAUUGCACACAAAUAAACUAACAAGAACAAAGUAUGAAGAACACCACUUUUUAGGAAAGGUACCACUUAAUUUAUAAUUUCUGUUAAAAUUAUAAAAUAGUGUAAAAUACAGUUUCAUGCCGGGUAUGAAAUAUUAUGUCUGGUUCAUUUUGUCAAUUUGCAAAACGAAAAAAAGAUUGAACUCUAAAUCUGUAAAUGUCCUUUUUAAGGUGACAUCGAUGUCAUGUGGAUUUGUUACAAAGCGUUUGUGUUUCUGAACAAUGUGUGUGACUGUGUCAACGGCAUGUGAUUGCUGCUCAGAUGGCUUUGUCUAAAAAUAAAGCAGAGCUGGCUAAAAUAUCCCCAUGGUAAAAAUACUCACCUACAUUUGGCCUGCUUUGGAUAAUUCAGCUUACGUGACAAAUUCCCCUUCGUCACUGUGAGUGUGCAGAGAGCAGCGUAGACACAAUGUGCAAAAAUCCUUGCAAACAAAAGUAGAUAACAGAUUUUUUUUUUCCUUUUUAAUUCUGUCUGCUUUUUCAUCUCAACAUCUCUAAUUGAAUCUAAUGAAUGUGCCUAUUUUGUGUCUAUGCCUGGGGCUCUUUUACAUUGCAUUAUUAUUUCUAUUUGCAUGGCAAUAUCCUGCAAAACAACUUCUGAACCAAGAUGAAAAAGGCCAUUUGCAUUAAAAUUUGAUUCUUGAUCUGC